UACAGAGGUCUCAAGCGUUGUUCGGAUUCAUUGGGCGUAAAGGGUGCGUAGGCGGCGCGGUAAGUCGGGUGUGAAAUCUCGGGGCUUAACUCCGAAACUGCAUUCGAUACUGCCGUGCUUGAGGACUGGAGAGGAGACUGGAAUUCCUGGUGUAGCGGUGAAAUGCGCAGAUAUCAGGAGGAACACCGGUGGCGAAGGCGGGUCUCUGGGCCGUUACUGACGCUGAGGAGCGAAAGCGUGGGGAGCGAACAGG
rnacentral:rRNA from 1 species